ensembl:snRNA U6 U6 spliceosomal RNA
GUACUCUGCUCACUCUGGCAGCACAUAUACUAAAACUGGAACGAUACGGAGAUAGGCAUGGCCCCUGUGCAAGGAUGACAGGAAAAUUCAUGAAACAUUCCAUAUAUUU